UAAGACAGAGGGCGCGAGCGUUGUUCGGAAUUACUGGGCGUAAAGCGCGCGUAGGCGGAUCUGCAAGUCCGUAAGUGAAAUCCCGCCGCUCAACGGCGGGGCUGCUUGGGAAACGGCAGGUCUGGGGACCGGUAGAGGUCGGUAGAAUUCCCGGUGUAGCGGUGGAAUGCGUAGAGAUCGGGAAGAAUACCCGUGGCGAAGGCGGCCGACUGGGCCGGAUCCGACGCUGAUGCGCGAAAGCGUGGGGAGCAAACAGGAUUAGAUACCCUGGUAGUCCACGCCGUAAACGAUGGGCACUAGGUGCCGGGGGGAGCGACCCCUUCGGUGCCGCAGCUAACGCGUUAAGUGCCCCGCCUGGGGAGUACGGCCGCAAGGCUG
rnacentral:rRNA from 1 species